rnacentral:rRNA from 1 species
AUUCCAGCUCCAAUAGCGUAUAUUAAAGUUGUUGUGGUUAAAAAGCUCGUAGUUGGAUCUCGGCGGUCUGAGGGCGGUUCGCUUCAGAGCGCUACUGCCCUAUAGACCGUAGUUUUGCCAGAGGUCUCAGGGUGCUCUUAACCGAGUGUCUUGCGAUGCUGGCAGGUUUACUUUGAAAAAAUUAGAGUGCUCAAAGCAGGCUUUUACGCCUGAAUAUUCGUGCAUGGAAUAAUAGAAUAGGAAGUCGUUUCUAUUUUGUUGGUUUUCGGAAAUCGACUUAAUGAUUAAUAGGGACAGUUGGGGGUAUUCAUAUUUCAGCGUCAGAGGUGAAAUUCUUGGAUCGCUGAAAGAUGAGCUUAGGCGAAAGCAUUUACCAAGGAUGUUUUCAUUA